GGUUAUUUUUUGCAUCCUCCAGCAAAAUGUAAGCCAAGUGAAGAAUGAGGUAUCGUUUUGUUCAUCAAGGAAUCCACAGAAACCAGAACAUUCUGUAGCAGAAGGACAGAAUAACGGGCUCCCAGAUUCACAAGCCCCACCAAGAGGAUCACCCCAGGAACGCUUGGAGGCUGAGGAGUUCACUGAGGCUACUGCAUCUUGAGACUCAGGAUGAAGACCCAGCUUGGGGCUGUCAAAGAGGCCUGAAGAGGCAGAACACCCCAGAGGAGCCUGGGGCCACCACCCAGCAUCACUGUGGGAAAACGGCAGCAGGAAAUGUCCUCUCGCCUGCGUGCUCCACCUCGGUCCACGCCUUCCCUCCUUCUGGAAGCCUUGCCUGACCACUGGCCUGCCCCUUCUAUGGGAAUCACUACUGACCUUGCAGCUUAUUAUAGACUUAUAUGUUUUUUGCAUGUCUGACACCCAUGACUCCACCUGGACCUUAUGGCUCCACCCAGAAGCAAUUCAGCCCAACAGGAGGACAGCUUCAACCCAUUACGAUUUCAUCUCUGCCCCAACCACUCAGCAGCAAGCACCUGUUACCUGUCCACCCCCACCCCUUCCCCCAAACUGCCUUUGAAAAAUCCCUAACCUAUGAGCUUUGAAUAAGAUGAGUACGAACUUCAUCGCCCACGUGGCGUGGCCGGCCUCGUGUCUAUUAAAUUC
rnacentral:lncRNA from 1 species